AGAGUUUGAUCAUGGCUCAGGACGAACGCUGGCGGCGUGCUUAACACAUGCAAGUCGAGCGGAAAGGCCCUUCGGGGUACUCGAGCGGCGAACGGGUGAGUAACACGUGAGCAACCUGCCCCUGGCUCUGGGAUAGCUCCGGGAAACCGGGAUUAAUACCGGAUGUGACCUGCUUACGCAUGUUUGCGGGUGGAAAGGUUUUUCCGGCUGGGGAUGGGCUCGCGGCCUAUCAGCUUGUUGGUGGGGUGAUGGCCUACCAAGGCGACGACGGGUAGCCGGCCUGAGAGGGCGGGCGGCCACACUGGGACUGAGACACGGCCCAGACUCCUACGGGAGGCAGCAGUGGGGAAUAUUGCGCAAUGGGCGGAAGCCUGACGCAGCGACGCCGCGUGGGGGAUGAAGGCCUUCGGGUUGUAAACCUCUUUCAGCAGGGGCGAAGCGAGAGUGACGGUACCUGCAGAAGAAGCGCCGGCUAACUACGUGCCAGCAGCCGCGGUAAUACGUAGGGCGCAAGCGUUGUCCGGAAUUAUUGGGCGUAAAGAGCUCGUAGGCGGCUAGUUGCGUCUGCUGUGAAAUCCCGGGGCUUAACCCCGGGCGUGCAGUGGAUACGGGCUGGCUGGAGGCAGGCAGGGGAGAAUGGAAUUCCCGGUGUAGCGGUGAAAUGCGCAGAUAUCGGGAGGAACACCGGUGGCGAAGGCGGUUCUCUGGGCCUGUUCUGACGCUGAGGAGCGAAAGCGUGGGGAGCGAACAGGAUUAGAUACCCCGGUAGUCC
rnacentral:rRNA from 1 species